UCUUUUAAUUCUUCCUCAUCCAUGCAGCAUUCUCCUCCAACUACUGUUGUCCCAUACUUCCUUCUCCCUAAACCUAGAGAGUCCUUGUACUUUGAAAAUCCAUAGGAGAGCUAGGGAAUAUCCGGAUUUAGGAAGUGUGGGACAGCAGCAAUUGAAGGAGAACGCCACAAGGGUGGGGGAGAAUUAAGAGA